rnacentral:rRNA from 1 species
CAGCAGUGAGGAAUAUUGGUCAAUGGGCGUAAGCCUGAACCAGCCAAGUCGCGUGAGGGAUGAAGGUUCUAUGGAUCGUAAACCUCUUUUAUAAGGGAAUAAAGUGUGGGACGUGUCCUAUUUUGUAUGUACCUUAUGAAUAAGGAUCGGCUAACUCCGUGCCAGCAGCCGCGGUAAUACGGAGGAUCCGAGCGUUAUCCGGAUUUAUUGGGUUUAAAGGGUGCGUAGGCGGCCUUUUAAGUCAGCGGUGAAAGUCUGUGGCUCAACCAUAGAAUUGCCGUUGAAACUGGGGGGCUUGAGUAUGUUUGAGGCAGGCGGAAUGCGUGGUGUAGCGGUGAAAUGCUUAGAUAUCACGCAGAACCCCGAUUGCGAAGGCAGCCUGCCAAGCCAUGACUGACGCUGAUGCACGAAAGCGUGGGGAUCAAACAGGAUUAGAUACCCUGGUAGUCCACGCAGUAAACGAUGA